CGCAAUGGGCGAAAGCCUGACGGAGCGACGCCGCGUGGUUGAUGAAGUUCUUCGGAACGUAAAAACCUUUUGCCAGGGAGAAAGUCUAUUGAUAGUACUUGGCGAAUAAGGGGUUGCUAAACUCGUGCCAGCAGCAGCGGUAAUACGAGUGCCCCGAGCGUUAUCCGGAAUUAUUGGGCGUAAAGGAUGUGUAGGUGGUUUUGUUAGUCUCUUGUUAAAUUCUUCGGCUUAACCGGGGGUCUGCAAGGGAAACGGCAAAACUUGAGGAUGCGAGGGGUGUGCGGAACUCAUGGUGUAGGGGUGAAAUCUGUUGAUAUCAUGGGGAACACCAAAAGCGAAGGCAGCACACUGGAGCACUCCUGACCCAGGAACAUGAAAGCGU
rnacentral:rRNA from 1 species